UACGCCCGAUCUCGUCCGAUCUCGGAAGCUAAGCGGGGUCGGGCCUGGUUAGUACUUGGAUGGGAGACCGCCUGGGAAUACCAGGUGCUGUAAGCUU
rnacentral:rRNA from 1 species